AGGGAUGCAGCUUGAUCACAAGAAUGUGAGAGUCAGCUCAUAGCAUCGAUAUGCUUUUUUUCUUUAAGAGCAAAGCAACAACAGAUGAUCAAGCUACAACAAGCAAUGCCAAUAAAUAACCAUAGUAUAGCAAUUGCCAAGUAGUAACAUGAUGAAACCAACAAAAGGUCAACUAUAGGCAACCAUAAGUAGUGCUUUGAGCCUCAGAUACUAGCAGUUAUCUCAGGAAAAAAAUACAGGCUCAUCAAGUAUAGAGUCUGUUGGUUUAAACCAACAGCUAAUCCAUUAAGAACACUUUAAGACUGAUCAGCAUGCUUGACAGCAAACAAAAUCAACAAAAUGGUAGACAGGGAAGCAACAAGUUUAUCCUAAAAUGUGACAGCAACAUAGAAAUCUCAAAAACCAAAA